rnacentral:rRNA from 1 species
AUUGAACGCUGGCGGCAGGCUUAACACAUGCAAGUCGAGCGGAGAUGAGGUGCUUGCACCUUAUCUUAGCGGUGGACGGGUGAGUAAUGCUUAGGAAUCUGCCUAUUAGUGGGGGACAACAUUCCGAAAGGAAUGCUAAUACCGCAUACGUCCUACGGGAGAAAGCAGGGGAUCUUCGGACCUUGCGCUAAUAGAUGAGCCUAAGUCGGAUUGGCUAGUUGGUGGGGUAAAGGCCUACCAAGGCGACGAUCUGUAGCGGGUCUGAGAGGAUGAUCCGCCACACUGGGACUGCGACACGACCCAGACUCCUGCGAGAGGCAGCAGUGGGAAAUAUUGGACAAUGGGGGAAACCCUGACCCAGCCAUGCCGCGUGUGUGAAGAAGGCCUUAUGGUUGUAAAGCACUUUAAGCGAGGAGGAGGCUACUGAGACUAAUACUCUUGGAUAGUGGACGUUACUCGCAGAAUAAGCACCGGCUAACUCUGUGCCAGCCGCCGCCGUAA